rnacentral:rRNA from 1 species
UACAGAGGGUGCAAGCGUUAAUCGGAAUUACUGGGCGUAAAGCGUGCGUAGACGGUUGCGUAAGUCAGAUGUGAAAGCCCCGGGCUUAACUUGGGAAUUGCGCUUGUGACUGGCGUGCUGGAGUGUGGCAGAGGGAGGUGGAAUUCCGACGUGUAGCAGUGAAAUGCGUAGAGAUGUGGAGGAACACCGAUGGCGAAGGCAGCCUCCUGGGCCAGCACUGACGCUCAUGCACGAAAGCGUGGGGAGCAACAG